rnacentral:rRNA from 1 species
UACGUAGGCAGCGAGCGUUGUUCGGAAUUACUGGGCGUAAAGAGUGUGUAGGCGGUGCUCUAAGUUCGGUGUGAAGUCUCCUGGCUCAACUGGGAGGGUGCGCCGGAAACUGGAGUGCUUGAGCGUGGGAGAGGAAAGCGGAAUUCCUGGUGUAGCGGUGAAAUGCGUAGAUAUCAGGAGGAACACCUGUGGUGUAGACGGCUUUCUGGACCAUAGCUGACGCUGAGACACGAAAGCGUGGGUAGCAAACAGG